UAAAACGUGUGAUGAAGUAUCAGUUGC
rnacentral:sRNA from 1 species